rnacentral:tRNA from 1 species
AGUUUAUGAGCUUGAUAAGCAUAUAUUUUGAAAAUAUAAAAUAAAAAUUAAAAUUUUUAUAAACUU